UACAGAGGGUGCGAGCGUUGUCCGGAAUCACUGGGCGUAAAGCGCACGUAGGCGGACUCUUAAGUCGGUGGUGAAAUCCUGGAGCUCAACUCCAGAACUGCCUUCGAUACUGAAGAUCUUGAGUUCGGGAGAGGUGAGUGGAACUGCGAGUGUAGAGGUGAAAUUCGUAGAUAUUCGCAAGAACACCAGUGGCGAAGGCGGCUCACUGGCCCGAUACUGACGCUGAGGCACGAAAGCGUGGGGAGCAAACAGG
rnacentral:rRNA from 1 species